rnacentral:rRNA from 1 species
GAGAGUUGAUCUGGCUCAGGAUGAACGCUGGCGGCGUGCCUAACACAUGCAAGUCGACGAAGCACUUAGACAGAUCCUUCGGGUGACGUAUUGGUGACUGAGUGGCGGACGGGUGAGGUAACGCGUGGGUAACCUGCCCUGUACAGGGGGAUAACAGUUAGAAAUGACUGCUAAUACCGCAUAAGCGCACGAUGGUAGCAUUACCAGGUGUGAAAAACUCCGGUGGUACAGGAUGGGCCCGCGUCUGAUUAGCUUGUUGGCGGGUAAGAGCCCACCAAGGCGACGAUCAGUAGCCGGUCUGAGAGGAUGAACGGCCACAUUGGAACUGAGACACGGUCCAAACUCCUACGGGAGGCAGCAGUGGGGAAUAUUGCACAAUGGGGGGAACCCUGAUGCAGCAAACCGCCGCGUGAGUGAAGAAGUAUUUCGGUAUGUAAAGCUCUAUCAGCAGGGAAGAUAAUGACGGUACCUGACUAAGAAGCUCCGGCUAAAUACGUGCCAGCAGCUGC